rnacentral:rRNA from 1 species
AGAGUUGAUCAUGGCUCAGGAUGAACGCUGGCGGUGUGCCUAAUACAUGCAAGUCGAUCGGGCGUAGCAAUACGUCAGAGGCGUACGGGUGAGUAACACGUAGGUAACCUACCUUUAAGACUGGGAUACCCAGACGAAAGUUUGGCUAAUACCGGAUAACAACAUUUGAGACAUCUCUUUUGUUUGAAAGGCGCUGCAAGGCGCCACUUUUAGAUGGACCUGCGUCGCAUUAGCUAGUUGGUGAGAUAAAAGCCCACCAAGGCUGGGAUGCGUAGCCGAUCUGAGAGGAUGACCGGCCACAAUGGGACUGAGACACGGCCCAUACUCCUACGGGAGGCAGCAGUAGGGAGUUUUCGGCAAUGGGGAAACCCUGACCGAGCAACACCGCGUGAGUGAUGAAGGUCUUCGGAUCGUAAAGCUCUGUUACGAGGGACGAAUGAUCGCUUUAGGAAAUGAGAGCGGUUUGACGGUACCUCGCCAGAAAGCGACGGCUAACUACGUGCCAGCAGCCGC